GAUAAAAGCUACCCUGUGGAUAACAGGCUUAUCUCCCCCAAGAGUCCACAUCGACGGGGAGGUUUGGCACCUCGAUGUCGGCUCAUCGCAUCCUGGGGCUGAAGUAGGUCCCAAGGGUUGGGCUGUUCGCCCAUUAAAGCGGUACGCGAGCUGGGUUCAGAACGUCGUGAGACAGUUCGGUCCCUAUCUGUCGCGGGCGUAGGAAAUUUGAGAGGAGCUGUCCUUAGUACGAGAGGACCGGGAUGGACGUACCGCUGGUGUACCAGUUGUUCCGCCAGGAGCACCGCUGGGUAGCCAAGUACGGACGGGAUAAGCGCUGAAAGCAUCUAAGCGUGAAGCCCCCCUCAAGAUGAGAUUUCCCAGUAUGUAAGACCCCUUGAAGACGACGAGGUUGAUAGGUUCGGGGUGGAAGUGCAGUAAUGUACGGAGCUGACGAAUACUAAUCGGUCGAGGGCUUAUCCUA
rnacentral:rRNA from 1 species